rfam:Cryomorphaceae bacterium BACL7 MAG-120910-bin24 contig11093_1_120910-bin24, whole genome shotgun sequence.
GGCAUAUUUUGCGCAGGCGGAGCUCGCCCGCCCGUUCAAACGAUGAUUGCCUUCAUCGAAGAUCAUCGAGAUGACUUGGGAGUCGAGCCGAUUUGCAAGGUUUUGCCAAUCGCCCA